rnacentral:rRNA from 1 species
CAGCAGCCGCGGUAAUACGAAGGGUGCAAGCGUUACUCGGAAUUACUGGGCGUAAAGCGUGCGUAGGUGGUGGUUUAAGUCCGUUGUGAAAGCCCUGGGCUCAACCUGGGAAUUGCAGUGGAUACUGGGUCACUAGAGUGUGGUAGAGGAUAGUGGAAUUUCCGGUGUAGCAGUGAAAUGCGUAGAGAUCGGAAGGAACAUCUGUGGCGAAGGCGACUAUCUGGGCCAACACUGACACUGAGGCACGAAAGCGUGGGGAGCAAACAGGAUUAGAGACCCGUGUAGUCCCUGUCUCUUAUAC